AACGAACGCUGGCGGCAUGCCUAACACAUGCAAGUCGAACGAGACCUUCGGGUCUAGUGGCGCACAGGUGCGUAACGCGUGGGAACCUGCCCUUAGGUUCGGAAUAACUCCCCGAAAGGGGUGCUAAUACCGGAUAAUGUCUUCGGACCAAAGAUUUAUCGCCUUUGGAUGGGCCCGCGUUGGAUUGGCUAGUUGGUAGGGUAAAAGCCUACCAAGGCGACGAUCCAUAGCUGGUCUGAGAGGAUGAUCAGCCACACUGGGACUGAGACACGGCCCAGACUCCUACGGGAGGCAGCAGUGGGGAAUAUUGGACAAUGGGCGAAAGCCUGAUCCAGCAAUGCCGCGUGAGUGAUGAAGGCCUUAGGGUUGUAAAGCUCUUUUACCCGGGAUGAUAAUGACAGUACCGGGAGAAUAAGCUCCGGCUAACUCCGUG
rnacentral:rRNA from 1 species